UACGGAGGGUGCGAGCGUUGUCCGGAAUCAUUGGGCGUAAAGGGCGCGUAGGUGGCCCGGUCAGUUCGUGGUGAAAGCGCGGGGCUCAACCCUGCGUCGGCCAUGAAUACUGCCGCGGCUGGAGCACUGUAGAGGCAGGCGGAAUUCCGGGUGUAGCGGUGGAAUGCGUAGAGAUCCGGAAGAACACCGGUGGCGAAGGCGGUUCUACUGGGACGGUACUGGACGCUGAGACGCGAAAGCGUGGGGAGCAAACAG
rnacentral:rRNA from 1 species